AAAUUGAAGAGUUUGAUCAUGGCUCAGAUUGAACGCUGGCGGCAGGCCUAACACAUGCAAGUCGAACGGUAACAGGAAGAAGCUUGCUUCUUUGCUGACGAGUGGCGGACGGGUGAGUAAUGUCUGGGAAACUGCCUGAUGGAGGGGGAUAACUACUGGAAACGGUAGCUAAUACCGCAUAAC
rnacentral:rRNA from 1 species